GACGAACGCUGGCGGCGUGCCUAAUACAUGCAAGUUGAGCGCUGAAGGUUGGUACUUGUACCAACUGGAUGAGCAGCGAACGGGUGAGUAACGCGUGGGGAAUCUGCCUUUGAGCGGGGGACAACAUUUGGAAACGAAUGCUAAUACCGCAUAAAAACUUUAAACACAAGUUUUAAGUUUGAAAGAUGCAAUUGCAUCACUCAAAGAUGAUCCCGCGUUGUAUUAGCUAGUUGGUGAGGUAAAGGCUCACCAAGGCGAUGAUACAUAGCCGACCUGAGAGGGGGAUCGGCCACAUUGGACCUGAGACACGGCCCAAACUCCUACGGGGGGCGGCAGUGGGGAAUUUUCGGAAAUGGACGAAAUCUUGACCGAGCAACGCCGCGUGAGUGAAGAAGGUUUUGGGAUCGUAAAACUCUGUUGGGAGGGAAAAACGUGGGUGGGGGUGGAAAGCCAAUCAAGGGAGGGAAACACACAAAAAAGGGCGGGCAAAUUCCGU
rnacentral:rRNA from 1 species